rnacentral:lncRNA from 1 species
AUGUGAAAAAACAAUGUUUGGAAGCAAUGAUGGAGAAGCCAUGUGCCCUAUCAAAUUACCUUUGAAGCAUUUUAGGAAAUUUUUUUAUUCUUUCCCAUUUAGUAAUGAUGGAAGCUAUUCUACUAUGUCAUGCAAUCAUCUUCCUUUCAGGCUUUGUUGGAUACCAACUGGAAAGAUAUGAUUCCACAUGCUGCUUCACCACCCAAAUCCAAUCUAAAAGGUGCCAAUCUUUACUUAAAAACAAAAAAAAAAAAAAAAAAGUGAACUAUACAAAAUAAAAUUUUGAGAUUCAUUAUUUGUUGUAAUUUUGUUAUAUUUCUUUUAUUUUUGAGAAUUUCAUGCAACACCUUUUAGAAAUUUUUACUAUUCUUAACUGAUUCAAUUUUAGGUAAGUUAAGUUAGAAUUUAUUUGGAUUUAUUAUUUUUCAAUCAUACAUCAUCCUCCUUAGGUGAUAUUUGAUCGGGAGUAAGUAGACCAGGGAAGUGUAACUUCCUCAAGUGCAUAAAAUGUUUAUAUUUAAUUUUCAUUAUUAAUUUUACUUGCCGGCAAGUAGACUAUCCAACUUCCAUUCUAUAAUGGGAAGUAACUUCCUUUUAAGGAUGACUAAGGAAGUUGUACUUCCUAGUUAAAUUCAAUGACCACUUUACUUAUUAUCUAAACACACUUAAAUUUAUAAUAUGAACAUUAUUGUCUUUUGUAAUUUACUUUCUAAGAAGUUGAUUUGCAUAUCAAAUAUGUUCAAAUUAUAUUUCCUGGGAAAUUAUUUCCUUGAAAGUGUUAUCUUUCCGAGAAGUAUAAUUUUUGGAUAAUAGAUCAUUUUGAACGAAAGAAUGCCUUAAAUUAGCUAGAUAUCAUUGGAGGUUCAUGAAAUCCAAUGACAUUUUAUUUUGAAUUAAACUUAACUAGAUUGGUUCUGUGGCUCCAACUUAUGAAAAACCCAGAAAAUUAGAAUUUUUUUUUUAAAAGUUCUCAUUUUUUUUCUCCGUAUAUAGUCAGAAAUACUUUCAUUGAAUACUUUCGUUUUCAACAAAAGUAAAUAUUUUUAACUUGUUUGGUCCUUUAAUGGCCUGUAAACGGGCCCUAUAAACUGAGUUUAGGCAAGUUAAUUCAUAUAUAUUAUUCUUUUUUUUUUUAACAUAGUAAAAGGUAAAAGGGAGUUCAAAUCUGAAUGUGUCAACAUUUGGAAUGGGGAGAAGGAUGAUCAUAAUAUUUCAAUUCUAUAUUAUAUAUAUUACAUACCAUCAACCUAAUCACGAAUCUUGUUAUAUGAAAAAUUAUUAUGUACCAUUUGGGAUCAAACUCGUGCGUUUGCAAAAUGCCAAUUUUGCAUUUUAUUUUACAAAUGCUAAGUUAAUUGCAUGUUACAAAUUUUAAAAUCUCUACAUAAAAAUCCAUGUACAGUUGAUGAAAGACCAUAUAUUCACUGACUCACAAUAUCAGUAAUUGUCACUCUAUUUACAGAACAAAAUUCUUCUUGUCUCACUAAUGAAUUAGAAUUAUCACCCAACUCUCUCAAGAUAUCUUUAAUUUACAUCUCAACAAGAUAACCAAGAGAACAAAGCAACCCCGCAUGUUUUCUACGCUAGAUAGACAAAAAAGACGUCAAUCAAUCUCCGGUUGCACAGCCCCUGCAACCGCAAUGGACACAUUCUAUAACCUCUUCUCUCAGGUUCUUAGGCACCCAGCAAACACAUGUCGUUGCGAAGUUGUGAACUUGUGAUCUCGCGGUUGCAUGCAACUUAAGCAGCAGAGACGUUCAUAACCCGGCUGUAACUCAAGCAGGCCACAAAAAUUAAGUAAGAAUCAUAUAGUCAUAUGAAAUCGCAAAAAAUUUUUAUCAAACAAUAAAUAGAAAAUGAAUCUCAUAUAUAUAUAAACUUUUUGUUCAACUUAUUUUUCUGCCACUAACCAAAAAUCCAAAAGUAUUUAUUCAUGCUGUUGGUGAUUAGCCACAUUCAACUUCAUAUAUCGGUUUGUUUUCAACACAAGAUCAAAAAAGAAAAAUUAGAAUUGCAAUUUCAAUUAACAAACUUGUAAGACUAACCUUCUUCCACUUUGCAACAAAAUUCCGGUCAGUGUAGCCUUGUUCCAAACAGAAUUCAUACAAUUCCUUGGAUAUUUCUUUCCUUUGAUGAUAAAGAUCGAAAAUGCAGUGGCUCUUUUGAUGCGCUAUCUUAAAAAUAGGCCGUAAAGCCUCGAAUUUUCUCUUACCAUUGUGUGGGUCAUUCUCAGCUGUCCAAACAAUUGAAGACAUACCACUAUCAGGUUUACAAAGCUCAAAAACAUAACAAGGGAAUGCUAGCCUAACUACAGUCAUUUCCCAUUCAACACUCGCCUCACCGCUUAGUUGGUCCACUUUAUCUCGCAAUUUUAAUAGAUGACCGGUAGCCUAUUACAACCAGUUACCAACUCUUUUAAUUUUCAAAGAAUGGAGAAAAAACCAAUUUAACACAACACUGCUAACAUGAUGUCCUAAACAAUGUCUGCUAAAAUUGAGAGAUGAAUGGACCAAUUAAAAGUUGGUGUCUUUUGAUAGAAAAAGAACUAAAAGCUGACUGUAGCUAUGACGAUUCCCCAUUAAAGUAUUAUGUUGUGAAGAACACUAACCUUCUCUCAUUUUUGCUGGUAGUACACGUGGAGUAGGCUCAAUCAAUUCCCAGCCCUCAGGGUACUUGACACGAUUAGUCUUCACCUUUGGCAUUUUUUCCUGUUUGAUCUGCCAUCAGAGAAGGCAACAUUAGUUAAAAGAAAAUCUCAUACAGUUCAAACAAAUCACAAAAAAAAGUUUCAAUCCAAAAAAAAAAAAAAAAACCAUAGAUAUAUAUAUAUAUAUAUAUAUAUAUAUAUAUAGAUAUAUAUAUUUUCCUUGCUUAUAAAUGUUACAAUAAAGAAUAUAUAUAGCGUAAAGACUGCCCGGGAUGUCAAGAUUUCAAUCAAAACAAUCAAUCAUUAAGAAUUACAGAAGCAAGAAGAACUUCUUGUUUCCACUAAGUAUGAUCUAUGAAAACUUUCUCUAUCUUAAUCUGAUGACAACCCAUGAACAUGAGCUUAAGAAAAUCAACUAAGUGUUUCAAAGCCAAAUCAUAAUUUGGUAUUAAGGCCUAAAAGAAUUCAAUAUCCUAUACGACUCUCAAUUUAUACUCCCACCUAGAACUACAUUUCAGCAGAAAACUAAGUUAAUUGAUUCAUCAUUUGUUUUCUCUUAAUUAGGCCCAAAAAUAUGAAUCCUAAAACCCUUUUUCUAAUACAAGAAAAUAAAACACAUCAAACAGAUAAAAAAAAUGUAUGUAUAUUUCUUUCAUGAUUCUUGCCACUGUCUAUCUUCUCUAGAAAGAAGGAAGCAAUUAUUUAGUCUUCGAGGAGGAUAUCCGGAGUAUCUCUUCGACUCUACCAAUGGCGGGUGUGUGUUUGUGUAGCGAAGAAAUCAAACGAAAGAUAUUUCAAAAAAGAGAAAGUCCUGCAAACUGAAAUUACUCUCGAUUAAUUUUCUUCUAGCGAACUAUGCCGGCGGUGAUCAUGCAACGUCGUCCGGCGGCGGAGUUUUACGGACGCGAGUAAAAGUCGCGGCUGGUAGAGUGUGUAGGGACUGUAGUAUAGAGUGUACAGAGAGGACAAGACGAAAACUGGUUUUUAUAAUAUUGGGGUUCAAUUCCUAAAACUAAAAGGAAAUCAAAAUUCAAAUUUUACUUUAGGUUGGAUUGAAAU